AACAGUAUAUGGCAAAGAAUGUCGACUUCACGCGCCGUGUUAUCUUUUCUCAUCGUAUGCUAUUAUAUGUAUGGCUAUUGACUUACAAAAAUAUUAAACUUUCUAGGAAAAACAUUUUUACUAAAAAAACCUGACAUCAACAGUGCUCUUUGUAUGGAAGCGAAGGUCACUUAAGUAGUUGCAUUGUAAGAGCUCCAAUCAGAAUGUGAGCUUCAAGGACAAUAUGACAAUGGAGACUGCUGACGUAUAUGCGCACGGAAAAAGCGCGACACUCAAGACAGCGUAUUAGUCCUCAUUGUAAUAUUAGAUUUUGAGUGGUAAUUAUUGUUCCUCAAAAUAGCUGAAUAGAGAUUUAAGAAACAUGAAUUCUCCUUAUAGAAACAGUUCAAGUUCAGCAACUGAUGAAGAGGCUAAAGGAUUUUCGGUUAUUCGAGAGGAACAGCACACUGACAGACAUUGUAAAUAUAAACGAAUCAAGGGACAGGGUUGCGUUAUUCAUGUACGAAUAUGCAAAUGUGGGAGUGAGAAGUAUCCCGACAAAAAACAUCUUAUUGCACGGCAAAGCUUUUCUGAACCAGACGGAGUAGAAGUUCAUUUUAGCACAUCAUGCCAAUGGCAAAGGAGCAAAGUUUCAUACUUCGGAAAGACCUCUUACAUGGUACAAUGCCAUUGCCAAUGCAUUCAACCACAAACAGCUCAUGGUCUGAACAAUAUGAACUAUGUUUCCCUAUCACACUGAUUGGAAUGGACGAGAAGUAUAAUCCACAAUAAAAAGCACUGAGAAGACCAACAUGGCGUAGGGAACAUGCCAACUGCUUUUUCGUUAAUACUCUGUAUUUUAUAGAGAAUAAAUGUGUUUCAAUAUCA